CAUUAGGUGUAAGAAGCCAGCUGUCACGGAGUCGACAGGGUGGGAUUCCGUCAUGUGACAUUCUGGCACUGACCCAAGUCAUCUGUGGUGAAAAAUGCCCGAAAGCACUAAUGAAAUAAUGGAUGAAGGUGAUGAUCGCAGGUGGCUGCUAAGACCAUUAAUUAGGUGAAAGGUUGCUGGCAGGCUCUCCAGAGGAUCAAUCAGGCUGACAACAUCUGAACCCAGUGUUGAAUCUUAACAUCACGGAAAGCAAAACAACCAGACAUGAUGGCAUCUCCUCAUGUGAUGUGAUUGGAAGUUUAGAGUAUCAGAUCUUCUAAAGUAUUCUUGCCAGGAAAGAAGGAAGCUUAGAGACAAUGGAGGUGAGAAGCAAUUUAGAGACAUCAAGAGGUAUCAAUCUGCUAAAUCCAGAUGGUGCAAAAUUUCAUGGGACAAAUGACUUGGUUUCUUCAACAGAUGAAAGGUAUGAAAAUAAUAUAGGUGAAGGGAAAUGUAGAUUAAAAGAUACUUAGG